rnacentral:lncRNA from 1 species
CUGGGCUGUGCACUUCAGAUUGGAACACUUUGGUCUGUGUGGAUUAUACUUCAGUCAUUUACUGAUAGCAAAAAUACAUAAACAAAUAAAUAAAUAAAAACAAAUAACAUUUGGGUGUUGGGGAAUGACAUUAAGUUUAGAUUUUAUUGUAUUCUUUAGGCUUUACUUAAAAUUCCCAGUUGGAGUGCAAACUAGCCUCAUGUCCUCUCGCUUGUUUCUGAUUCGGCCUUAAAAGGCCCCACGGAUGUUUGAAAUAUCUGAACCAGAAAAACGGUUAUGGCCACAUCGUGGUAAUAGUGGAGGAUUCCAAUAAGGCUGACUGAGAGGGAGCACCUCACCUUUUGGGUGCUGCACUUGCUCAGAGAGGGGGCAAAAGCCCAGCCUUUCAAGAUGACUGGACCCCAGCAUGCAAGGUAGGGGUUCCUUCUAUUCUCACCACUGCACAGAGCUCCGAAGGCACUGGUAAGUUGUAACCUCUCUAGUCGCAGGUAAAAGCGCAGCCUAGGCAGAGGUUGGAGUCUAAAGGAAAGGAGGAGUGCCACGCCCCAGGAGGGACACUGCCAUGACUGGGAUUCCACCCUUGGCCGCGAUGCAGAGUACUAACCAAUAUACCAUCACAGGAAGCCGCCUGCUUUCUUCUUUAAACUUAAUAUAGGGCUGCUUCGGCCUAAGGGUCCCCAUGAUUUUCCUUCUUUCUUGGUGUCUCUCCAUUUUUCCUGGCGUUCUCCCCACUCUGCUACAGUAGAAAAGAUGAUUUUUGUCUCUCAGGGAUCCGGUCCUUACCGCUGAACAAAGCUACUGGGAAGUUUCCUCGCCAGGGUCGCCGCCUCUGCCGACUUCCUUGCUCUCCUCCUUGCAGUUACCCGUUGGACCCACCCAGUGCCCCGCUCCCGCCCUAGUGCCCCAGGCACCCACCCAAAAACAGCGCAGCUGAGCCCCCGCAGCUCCAUCGCGCAGAAGGUUUACUGGAGGCCUCAGCCCGUUGUCUGCCCCACGGGAUGCCAGGAAAUCCAUCGGAAUAAACGCUUUUUAAAAAGAAUUUACCGCCGGGCGCGGUGGCUCACGCCUGUAAUCCCAGCACUUUGGGAGGCCGAGGCAGGCGGAUCACGAGGUCAGGAGAUCGAGACCAUCCUGGCCAACACGGUGAAACCCCGUAUCUACUAAAAAGAAAGAAAGAAAGAAAGAAAGAAAGAAAGAAAGAAAGAGAAAAAAAAUUAGCCGGGAGUUGUGGCGGGCGCCUGUAGUCCCAGCUACUGGGGAGGCUGAGCCAGGAAAUGGCGUGAACCCCGGAGGCGGAGCUUGCAGUGAGCCGAGUUCGCGCCACUGCACUCCAGCCUGGGCGACAGAGCGAGACCCUGUAUCAAAAAAAAAAACAAAAAAAACAAAACAAAACAAAAAAAAAACUUACUUUCCCUUCGCGACCAGCCUGGGCAACACGGUGAAAUCCCGUCUCUACAAAAAAUACAAAAAUUAGCCCAUCGUGUGGCGCACGCCUGUAGUCCCAGCUCCUUGGGGCGCUGAGGCAAGAAAAUCGCUCGGCCCCAGGAGGUCGAGGCUGCAGUGAGCCGUGUUUGCAUCACUGCACUCCAGCCUGGGCUACCAAGUGAGACCCUGUCUCACAAACAGAACAAAACAAAACUUCCCCAUGGAAAAACAGUUCAUGAUUUCUAUUUUCAGAGCUCUUCAAAAGACUAAAAACUGAAUGCGACGAUGGAUUAAUUCAAGUCCUAGUCGUGCGCUCUGGACCUGGAACUUGCACAGUCGUCCUGCCAGGAGGGCCCCUGAAGAUUGAGGGGAUGGGGAGUUUGCUGAGUGCACCCUUCCUAUAGCGCCCAGAAGAAGGCACGGAACGUGUACCUGCAGCGCAAUUCGUUAGAGCAUUCUGCUGUUAAUAGAAAGAGACGGGAUUUCGCCGUGUUGCCCAGGCUGGUCGUGAGGGGAGAGGCACCCUCCUGGCUUAACUGAGGGGUUGUACAACAGAAGGACAUGGUGGACAUUGCACACAGAAACUCUGUGACAUAGGAUGAACUGCUAAACUUCUAAGAUAUUUUAAAGUCCUCCAACAUCUGUGAUUGUUUUCUGUGAUGACUAAGUCACACUGGUCCAGAGAAGAUGGGCCACAGCGACCUCUUGGAAAGCUUUCUGUCAAGUCCCUUACACAAGGGGAGCAAAAUCACAAAGGUCCCAGGCAAUUUUUUUCUUCUCCCCUUUCCUCUUUUCUUCAUAAAUCUUGGUUUUUCUUUUAUUUGCCAAAACCAAUCUAAUGCCCUUUCUCCCUCCUAUACAAUGGUAAAUUACCAUGCAGAUAGCUGUCCCUGUAUUAUUAUUUGAUAGAUUUUUUCAGGGGCUAUGUCCAUAACAAUUAGCACAUCUGAGAAACAUCACUGGAGCCAACAGAACCCUCCACCCAACGGGCAUCUUGUGUAGACCUGAACCCUCAGAGCUAUUAGCUCCUGUUUCCUUGCUUCUUUUAAUGAAUAUCAUGAAUAGAAAUUGAGCUCUUUGGCUUUUAAUCACUAAGUAUGGCUGUAGUACAUGUCUCUGUCUCCCUCUAUGUCUUCUCUCUCUCUCUCUCUCUCUCACUGUUUCUUUCUCAUUUUUGCAUUAUUAUUUUCUGUCAUCAGUGGCACCAAUGUGGGUUUCUGGUUUUGAUGUUAUGGAGUGAACUUCUGGGGACAAUCUCUGUUAGGUGGUGGUUGACAAGGAUCCAUUCCCUGAUUGGCAGUACAUGACAGCUAAUCUAGUCUGUGAGUCUUUCUUGAUUGUCCAUUAUCCUAAAGAUUCUGGUCUUUCCUGACAUUUGAGACUGCAGCAAUGAGAAGGUUUUCAUAUCUUGUCUAUCUGAUGUUUGGUAAAAGUCUUAGGGACACAUUAGCUGUCAAUAUCUGCAAGAAUGGCAUCUCUGUAAUAAGGAUGAUCUUAAUACACACUAUGCCACACCCCAUUUCAUAGGAACUCUUGGCUCCAGGAAAGUGCUAUACCUAAAUGGAUCUUAGCACAGGAAAGAAACUAAAUUCCUAGCAUGUGAGGGGAACCUUUCUUUGAUUGGCAUAUUCAAGUUUUUCACAGCUGAA